AUUUCCAUUUGAUUCUCGGAUAAAUGCGGAAAUUGAGGAGGCCGUCGAUUUGGGAGGCCCGAGGAGAGAGUUCCUCACCCUUUUAAUGGAAGCGAUUGAAAAAUCUGCACUGCUGGCAGGCCCAGAUGGCCAAAAAACCCUUGCUCUUGACUCAGUUGCUGUCAGAGAAGAGCGAUACUACCUUGUUGGUAAAGCAGUUGCAGUCAGCAUGGUGAUACCACAGGGACCUUCGCCAGGAUUCUGUUUGUUGGCAUUGUUUGAGUGCAUCUGCAGUGGGAAUGUGUCACCAACCAUUGAUGAUGUGACUUGGAUUUGCUAGAUAAAAUCCAAAAGAUUGCCAACGCUGCAACCAUCGAUGAGUUAUGCCAGGCAACUGAGAACAUAACCGAAUUCCUGGCAAAUGCAGGCUGUCCUCGAGGUAUAAAAUGCCUCGAAGACAAACAUCAGCUUGUAGACAACAUUUUAAUAUUCCAAAUUGUUAACAGAGUCCAUGGCUCACUUG